ACUCAAAGGAAUAGACGGGGGACCGCACAAGCAGAGGAGGAUGUGGUUUAAUAUGACGCUACGCGUAGAACCUUACCGAGGCUUGACAUCUUAGGAACCUUUUAGAGAUAAGAGGGUGCCUUUGGGAGCCUAAUGACAGGUGCUGCAUGGCCGUCGUCAGCUCGUGUCGUGAGAUGUUGGGUUAAGUCCCGCAACGAGCGCAACCCCUAUCGUAUGUUGUAUUUUUCAUGCGAGACUGCCCGGGCCAACCGGGAGGAAGGUGGGGAUGACGUCAGGUCGGCAUGGCCCUUACGCCUCGGGCCACACACGUCCUACAAUGGCCAGUACAACGCGCCGCGAACCCGCGAGGGGGAGCUAAUCGCAUCAAAACUGGUCUCAGUUCGGAUUGGAGGCUGCAACUCGCCUCCAUGAAGUUGGAUUUGCUAGUAAACGUGGGUCAGCAUACCACGUUGAAUACGUUCCCGGUCCUUGUACACACCGCCCGU
rnacentral:rRNA from 1 species